UACGUAGGGUGCGAGCGUUGUCCGGAAUCACUGGGCGUAAAGGGUGCGUAGGCGGGUCUUUAAGUCAGGGGUGAAAUCCUGGAGCUCAACUCCAGAACUGCCUUUGAUACUGAAGAUCUUGAGUUCGGGAGAGGUGAGUGGAACUGCGAGUGUAGAGGUGAAAUUCGUAGAUAUUCGCAAGAACACCAGUGGCGAAGGCGGGUCUCUGGGCCGAUACUGACGCUGAGGAGCGAAAGCGUGGGGAGCGAACAGG
rnacentral:rRNA from 1 species